rnacentral:rRNA from 1 species
UACGUAGGUGACAAGCGUUGUCCGGAUUUACUGGGCGUAAAGAGCGCGCAGGCGGUCGUUCAAGUCGAGUGUGAAAGCCCCCGGCUCAACUGGGGAGGGUCAUUCGAUACUGAUCGACUCGAAGGCAGGAGAGGGUAGUGGAAUUCCCGGUGUAGUGGUGAAAUGCGUAGAUAUCGGGAGGAACACCAGUGGCGAAGGCGGCCUUCUGGGCAUUUCCUGACGCUGAGGCGCGAAAGCGUGGGGAGCGAACCGG